rnacentral:rRNA from 1 species
CCUACGGGGGGCAGCAGUGAGGAAUAUUGGUCAAUGGACGAGAGUCUGAACCAGCCAAGUAGCGUGAAGGAUGAAUGCCCUAUGGGUUGUAAACUUCGUUUAUAUGGGAAUAAAAUGUUCCACGUGUGGGGUUUUGUAUGUACCAUAUGAAUAAGGAUCGGCUAACUCCGUGCCAGCAGCCGCGGUAAUACGGAGGAUCCGAGCGUUAUACGGAUUUAUUGGGUUUAAAGGGAGCGUAGGUGGGUUGUUAAGUCAGUUGUGAAAGUUUGCGGCUCAACCGUAAAAUUGCAGUUGAAACUGGCAGUCUUGAGUACAGUAGAGGUGGGCGGAAUUCGUGGUGUAGCGGUGAAAUGCUUAGAUAUCACGAAGAACUCCGAUUGCGAAGGCAGCUAACUGGACUGCAACUGACACUGAGGCUCGAAAGUGUGGGUAUCAAACAGGAUUAGAUACCCCGGUAGUC